GACGAACGCUGGCGGCGUGCUUAACACAUGCAAGUCGAGCGGUAAGGCCCUUUCGGGGGUACACGAGCGGCGAACGGGUGAGUAAUGCUUGGGAAUCUACCCAGUAGCGGGGGAUAACCUAGGGAAACUUAGGCUAAUACCGCAUACGACCUACGGGUGAAAUCGGGGGCUCACUCAUAAAACAUCUUCACGGUGAACCUGACCGGUGAGGGUGCUUUAUGAGUGACCUCGCACUAUUGGAUGAGCCCCAAGUCGGAUUAGCUAGUUGGUAGGGUAACGGCCUACCAAGGCGACGAUCGGUAGCUGGUCUGAGAGGACGACCAGCCACACUGGGACUGAGACACGGCCCAGACUCCUACGGGAGGCAGCAGUGGGGAAUAUUGGACAAUGGGCGCAAGCCUGAUCCAGCGAUGCCGCGUGUGUG
rnacentral:rRNA from 1 species